AGAAAGGAUCUGAUGUGUAAUUUCCUCAGAAAUUCAGACUUGGAUGAUUUGAUGAAGAAAGAAAGCAGGAAACAUUCAUGCUGUGACUUGUGUGCUAAUCUUGUAAUUGUGAAUCCUGUGAUAUAUUACCUCUUGAAAAGUUAUUUCUGUCAGAACAAGUUGUUGAGGAGCUCGAGGAGCAAGAAGAUUCUGCUGUAUCAGAUAGCGAUACUGAAGACUACAAUUUGUCGGCCUAUGAAUACUUAAAAGAUCUUGAUAUGGCUUUAUUAGAAAUACAAGAUGAUUAAAACAGUUGAUAUUUA